GGCCGCACAAGCGAGAACAUGUGGUUUAUUCGAUGAUACGCGAGACCUUACCGGGCUUGAACUGCACAGGAAUGCGGAGAGAUCCCAAAGCCCUUCGGGGCCUGUGUGAGGUGCUGCAUGGUUGUCGUCAGCUCGUGCCGUGAGGUGUCGGCUUAAGUGCCAUAACGAGCGCAACCUUCUCUUCAGUUGCCAUCACUUCGGGUGGGCACUCUGGAGACACUGCCACCGUAAGGUGUGAGGAAGGUGGGGAUGACGUCAAAUCAGCACGGCCCUUACGUCCGGGGCUACACACGUGUUACAAUGGCGCGUACAGAGGGCCGGCACUGGGCAAUCAGUGUCCAAUCCUUAAAACGCGUCUCAGUUCGGACUGGGGUCUGCAACCCGACCCCACGAAGCUGGAUUCGCUAGUAAUCGCGCAUCAGCCAUGGCGCGGUGAAUACGUUCCCGGGCCUUGUACACACCGCCCGUCAAGCCAUGAAAGCCGGGGGCGCCUGAAGUCCGUGACCGCGAGGGUCGGCCUAGGGUGAAACCGGUGAUUGGGGCU
rnacentral:rRNA from 1 species